CAGAGCAGGAGAUGUUAACUCCUCCGUGUCCAGACUGAAAAUGAAUCGCGCAUGCUGGAAGCCCCCCGCUGGCUUUUCCCGCCCAUAAUGUAAAAUGUAAAUGUUCUUUGUCUAAAAUAAAUCACUGUCUGCAUGGGCGACUCACACAGACUCAGUCACUUACCUCACCUCGGCUUGUCCACUGUGUGUGUGCCUCUCUGUGAUAAACCUCUAGCUGGCUAGCUCAUGAAUGAUAAAUAGAUAGAUAGAUCCAUAGAUAAGAUAGAUAGAUAAGACAUAGAUUAGAUAGAUACUUUUAGACAUUUUAGACAUCCAGUAGCUUAGACAACCAUAACACAACAAACACACAUACACAUAUAUAUCUCACAUACAUAAAAAUCACUCACACAAAAUCACUGAUCAUGUCACAGUCUAAACUGUACAGUCAAAAAUACAGAAAGGAGUGGGAAUCAAACCCUGAAUUCAAAGCCUGGUUGAAACCAUUUAUUGGUGACGAUACGCGUGCAUAUUGCCUGUAUUGUAAGGCUGAUUUCUACGCUAAACUCAGCAAUGUUAAAAAACACAGGAUGACUCAAAAACAUACUAAAAAGGGAAAGCCUUAUAACAGUUCCACCCCGAACAAUCUGCCAUUUAUGUUAACUAAAAUUGACUCUGCAAAAAAGGCUGAGGCCACCAUCCCAGAUACUCCCAUUUUUUGCGAGAUGCCGCCGCCGACUGCUUCAUUUUCUCUGGCAGUUGCCUCGGUCUAAUGGACCGUGGUUGUCCGGCGGCAAGCCGCUUUGAAAUACAAGGCUACUCUCAAAAUCGACCGGCCAUUUUGGUUUGGACACACAUUCGCAUCAGUUCGUCGCUCAAUCGCGAGUUACUACAGCCUGCAGUUUGCUAGCUAGCAAAGUCAUCGACUACCAUCGUUUAAUGCUGCCCCAUGCUCUAGAAGUUGCAUCGAUUCCAGAAAACCAAGAAAAAGUUGAGCCAUCUGUAGACUUCAGAGCUGAACCAGGUUUCUCCCCAGUAAUCCAGACUCUACUUCACAGAGCCAAGAGUUUGAGUAUAUUUAAGUGAUGUUAUUUGUGAUGAUUUUUGUCUUGGAAACUAUUGCUUCUAUUUAAGAUGAGGAAUCCUUUUAGCCAUAAUCUGUUUUUCAUUAGGGCACUUUACUUUCUGGAUGAAAGGUGUCGAGGUGUGUUGUACAUUCCAUUAGCUUUGCACAGUUCAAUUAUUGUUUCAUUACUGAAUAUGCAAUCUCUGCAGUGAAAUUAAAGCUGUUAUGUUUGUUCCCCCAGCUCGUCAAGUACUAAGCUUUUCACCCCCAGCAGCAAAUUUGCCCUGGCAGCAUAUGGGUGAAAACGCUGGAGGAGAAAGUCAUCGCUUUGUUAUUGGUCUCACCUGGCACCUCGUGUACAGCUUUUUUUCAGCUAUGAAGAUUUCCAGUGACUCCAGAAUGAAAACCAAGCUCUUGAGGGAGGAGAACCAAGCCCUGAGUGAAGGCAAUGCACGAGCAGAACCCCUGUAGGUGCGUUACGCGUUACCUGAAAGGAGCAUCUGACCGUGAAGGCAGAAAAAGGCGCCGCACAUCUGAGAGGGACCCACAGCCGACCCCUUAAACCUAGGCUGACUACUGACACCCCAGCAUCACUGACAACUGGAACACUUUCUUUAUCCUGCAGUCAGUAACAUCAAGAAGCCAGAAGUGCCAGACUACACUCACCAAAUCCACCCUGUUUACUGUGGAAAUUACAAUUUUUUUAGUAUUUUAACUUUGGUAUUGGCUUAUAUCAUUCCGUCAAUGCUUAACGAUUCUAUUAUAGUUUGUAAAUCCUAUUUCAUACCUGUUACUUGAAAGUGCACAUUAACUAGUACCAAAAUUCUACUUUCCUUCCAUCAGUGUGCUUAACUGUUAUUCUAUUAAUAUUAGCUUAGAAAUACUAUUUCAUACCUCUGAUACUUGAUAUUGCACAUUACCUGGUACCAAAUAUUGUACUCUGUUUUUAACAUGAGCUUUUUUCAUUCAGUCACAGUGCUUAACUGUUAUUCAAUUGUUAAAUAUAGCUUGUAAAUCCUUGUGCCACAGGUCAGCAUUGCAGUUAUAAUGGUCUGUUCUACUACAGUAUUUACCUCAGUAUUUUUAUAUAAAUGUCAAGUUUUGUUUAUCACAGAUACAAGAGACACAGAUCUUAUUGCAGCACAGUGUAAAUAUUGUGCUCCAGGUCAGCAAUGCCAUUGUAAUGGUCUAUUCUACUCCAGAGCUUUACUCUAAACUAUUACCACUUAUCCGUUUGUUAGAAAUUGCUUGAAAAUGUGAUGUUAUACCUCAAUUUAUUUGGUAUCCUGCACAUUCUUUGGUACCAAAUAUCCUCAUUACUUGUUAUAAUGUUUACUGGUAAUUCUUUUCAUCCCAGAGCUGACCUCUUUAUGUUAUUAACAAUUAUUGUUUAAUUUUGUUAUAAUUUGCUUGUAUGGCUGUUUUUUUUAACCAAAAUGCAUGUUCUGUAGUGUGUGUAUUUAUAUAUUUUUU
ensembl:lncRNA